UGGGGAAUAUUGGACAAUGGGCGCAAGCCUGAUCCAGCCAUGCCGCGUGUGUGAAGAAGGCCUUUUGGUUGUAAAGCACUUUAAGCGAGGAGGAGGCUACUUGGAUUAAUACUCUAGGAUAGUGGACGUUACUCGCAGAAUAAGCACCGGCUAACUCUGUGCCAGCAGCCGCGGUAAUACAGAGGGUGCGAGCGUUAAUCGGAUUUACUGGGCGUAAAGCGUGCGUAGGCGGCUUCUUAAGUCGGAUGUGAAAUCCCUGAGCUUAACUUAGGAAUUGCAUUCGAUACUGGGAAGCUAGAGUAUGGGAGAGGAUGGUAGAAUUCCAGGUGUAGCGGUGAAAUGCGUAGAGAUCUGGAGGAAUACUGAUGGCGAAGGCAGCCAUCUGGCCUAAUACUGACGCUGAGGUACGAAAGCAUGGGGAGCAAACAGG
rnacentral:rRNA from 1 species